rnacentral:misc_RNA from 1 species
GUGAGUCAUCGAAUCUUUGAACGCACAUUGCGCCUCUCGGUAUUCCGGGAGGCACGCCUGUUCGAGCGCCAUUACACACCCCAAGCUUGGCUUGAUGUUGGACGCUGUCUGUGAAAGGACAGGUCUGGAACGCGUGGGCGCCGCCGCCGGACCACGAGCGUAGCAAGACGCAAGUCAAUCGCUCUGUGGGCUUACUCGGUGGACGGCCGUCUAGACGCUGGGGUAACACCUGCGUCGAACAGACACAACCAAAGUUUGGCCUCGGAUCAGGCGGGGAUACCCGCUGAACUUAAGCAUAUC